rnacentral:rRNA from 1 species
AUUGAACGCUGGCGGCAUGCCUUACACAUGCAAGUCGAACGGUAACAGGUCUUCGGAUGCUGACGAGUGGCGAACGGGUGAGUAAUACAUCGGAACGUGCCCGAUCGUGGGGGAUAACGAGGCGAAAGCUUUGCUAAUACCGCAUACGAUCUACGGAUGAAAGCGGGGGAUCUUCGGACCUCGCGCGGACGGAGCGGCCGAUGGCCGAUUAGGUAGUUGGUGGGAUAAAAGCUUACCAAGCCGACGAUCUGUAGCUGGUCUGAGAGGAUGAUAAGCCACACUGGGACUGAGACACGGCCCAGACUCCUACGGGAGGCAGCAGUGGGGAAUGUUGGACAAUGGGCGAAAGCCUGAUCCAGCCAUGCCGCGUGCAGGAUGAAGGCCUUUGGGUUGUAAACUGCUUUUGUACGGAACGAAAAGCCUCUUUCUAAUAAAGAGGGGUCAUGACGGUACCGUAAGAAUAAGCACCGGCUAACUACGUG